UCGAGUUCCGGUGGGGUGAACCCAACGGGUGCCUCUUUUUUUACGGCCUCUGCGGUUUCAUCGGCCGCUGCAGCUCUGAUUGUCUUGGAGAACUUGAGGGGCUUGGGAGAGGAGAAGGAGAAGGUGGGGGAUUGCUUCCAUGGCACGGAGACACGGUCGGUGGGUUUGAGAGCAGAGAAGGAAGGACUGAAGAGGGAGGCUUGGGUUGCCAUGGCCAUGCUGAGAAGGGUUGGGUUGUUGUGUUGUGAGAGAUCAGUGAAAAAGAAAAGAAAAGAGAUCAAACAAGUAUAGGAUGAAAAAGAUUUUUGAUGGGUUGUGUGGAUUUCGAUAUGGAUAAGUGGAUAUGCC
rnacentral:lncRNA from 1 species